UACGGGGGGGGCAAGCGUUGUUCGGAAUUACUGGGCGUAAAGGGCUCGUAGGUGGCCAACUAAGUCAGACGUGAAAUCCCUCGGCUUAACCGGGGAACUGCGUCUGAUACUGGAUGGCUUGAGUUUGGGAGAGGGAUGCGGAAUUCCAGGUGUAGCGGUGAAAUGCGCAGAUAUCAGGAGGAACACCAAUGGCGAAGGCAGCACUCUGGGACGUGACUGACGCUGAGACGCGAAAGCGUGGGGAGCAAACAGG
rnacentral:rRNA from 1 species